UGGGAAGUAUUUAGCACAUCCGGGCUGCGCAAAAGGAGAGGACUAAAUUGAUUAUUAUGAACAGACCAUUAUGAUGAACCACUGAUAUUGACUCGAGAGACAUGAAGAUGAGUGCUUUGACAACAAGACUGACUAGCUGAGCCAGCUUAAGAAUUAUGUGGUGUGUGUGUCUAAUUCCAGGAGCUCUCUAUGUCAGCCAUCCAUCUAUAUUCUUACUCAUUUUUGUUAAUUAUAAAAUAAAUUUGAUUAUGUAGUAUGUAACUUCAUUGUACCUAUCCUGCUAGCUGUUAGAAAGAUAGCAUCAGUAAUAAUUUAUUUACGGUAAAACAUAUUUAUAAAUAAACAUGCUUUAACAUUUAAGUAUGGCCAAUAUGUUGUCAAGUACAGUGGGCAGGGCUGAAUCCAUGAUCCUUCAGUGUCUAGUCUGGCCCCUUUAUGGAGUAGCUAGUUAGGCUUUAGCAGAUUUAUAUUCUAAUUGGGUAAAACUCGUUUUUCUGAUUUAAGAAAAUAUACUAAUCAUCAAAACAGUGUCUGCAAGUACUGUACAGGCCGACUGUUUGGAUGAAAAGUAUAUAUUUGAUUAUUUUUAAGCUUUGUGGUUU
rnacentral:lncRNA from 1 species